UUCCAGACUCCUACGGGAGGCAGCAGUGAGGAAUAUUGGUCAAUGGGCGGAAGCCUGAACCAGCCAAGUCGCGUGAGGGAAUAAGGCCCUACGGGUCGUAAACCUCUUUUGCCGGGGAGCAAGGGCGGGGACGUGUCCCGGCCCGGAGAGUACCCGGAGAAAAAGCAUCGGCUAACUACGUGCCAGCAGCCGCGGUAAUACGUAGGGGGCAAGCGUUGUUCGGAAUGACUGGGCGUAAAGGGUGUGUAGGCGGUGUAGCAGGUUAGAAGUGAAAUACCUAGAGCUUAACUCAGGUGCUGCUUCUAAAACUGCUAUACUUGAGUGCAGUAGAGGAAAGUGGAAUUCCUAGUGUAGCGGUGGAAUGCGUAGAUAUUAGGAGGAACAUCAGUGGCGAAGGCGACUUUCUGGACUGUAACUGACGCUGAGGCACGAAAGUGUGGGGAGCAAACAGGAUUAGAUACCCGAGUAAG
rnacentral:rRNA from 1 species